UACGUAGGGGGCAAGCGUUGUCCGGAUUUAUUGGGCGUAAAGAGCGUGUAGGCGGCUUUACAGGUCCGUUGUGAAAACUCGAGGCUCAACCUCGAGACGCCGGUGGAAACCGUAAAGCUAGAGUCCGGAAGAGGAGAGUGGAAUUCCUGGUGUAGCGGUGAAAUGCGCAGAUAUCAGGAAGAACACCGGUGGCGAAAGCGCUCUGCUAGGCCGCAACUGACACUGAGGGACGAAAGCUAGGGGAGCGAAUGGG
rnacentral:rRNA from 1 species